rnacentral:rRNA from 1 species
GAUGAACGCUGGCGGCGUGCCUAAUACAUGCAAGUCGAGCGAACAGACGAGGAGCUUGCUCCUCUGACGUUAGCGGCGGACGGGUGAGUAACACGUGGAUAACCUACCUAUAAGACUGGGAUAAAUUCGGGAAACCGGAGCUAAUACCGGAUAAUAUAUUGAACCGCAUGGUUCAAUAGUGAAAGACGGUUUUGCUGUCACUUAUAGAUGGAUCCGCGCCGCAUUAGCUAGUUGGUAAGGUAACGGCUUACCAAGGCAACGAUGCGUAGCCGACCUGAGAGGGUGAUCGGCCACACUGGAACUGAGACACGGUCCAGACUCCUACGGGAGGCAGCAGUAGGGAAUCUUCCGCAAUGGGCGAAAGCCUGACGGAGCAACGCCGCGUGAGUGAUGAAGGUCUUCGGAUCGUAAAACUCUGUUAUUAGGGAAGAACAAAUGUGUAAGUAACUAUGCACGUCUUGACGGUACCUAAUCAGAAAGCCACGGCUAGCUUCGUG